AAACGCUUGAAGUCAGUCACGCCCUUCUGGAUUCAGCCUUGCUUCUGCUCGGUUUACUUCCAGGUUGGCGGGUCAACGUCAGUUUUGAUCGAGGGAGAAAGGUUUGGGGAACGUGGCAGCAUUCGUGCUGUGUUAUAGCCUCUGGUUGUAUACAUUGGUUGGGACUGAGGAACUCAGCACGCCGCAAGGCCGGGUUUUUAACCACGUUCGUGCUUAGGAUGCUGGCAUAAUGGCUUUAAUCGA
rnacentral:rRNA from 1 species